AGAAGAUCCUAGGAGAGGUUACAGAUCCCAGAGACGAUCCUAGGAGAGGUCACAGAUCCCGGAGAAGAUCCUAGGAGAGGUCACAGAUCCCGGAGAAGAUCCUAGGAGAGGUCACAGAUCCCGGAGAAGGUCCUAGGAGAGGUCACAGAUCCCGGAGAAGGUCCUAGGAGAGGUCACAGAUCCCAGAGAAGAUCCCUGGAGAGGUCACAGAUCCCGGAGAAGAUCCUAGGAGAGGUCACAGAUCCCGGAGAAGAUCCUAGGAGAGGUCACAGAUCCCGGAGAAGGUCCUAGGAGAGGUCACAGAUCCCGGAGAAGGUCCUAGGAGAGGUCACAGAUCCCA